rnacentral:rRNA from 1 species
AUUGAACGCUGGCGGAAUGCUUUACACAUGCAAGUCGAAUGGCAGCACGGACUUCGGUCUGGUGGCGAGUGGCGAACGGGUGAGUAAUGUAUCGGAACGUGCCCAGUCGUGGGGGAUAACGUAGUGAAAAUUACGCUAAUACCGCAUACGAGCUAUGGAUGAAAGCGGGGGAUCGCAAGACCUCGCGCGAUUGGAGCGGCCGAUAUCAGAUGAGGUAGUUGGUGGGGUAAAGGCCCACCAAGCCAACGAUCUGGAGCUGGUCUGAGAGGACGACCAGCCACACCGGAACUGAGACACGGUCCAGACUCCUACGGGAGGCAGCAGUGGGGAAUUUUGGACAAUGGGCGGAAGCCUGAUCCAGCCAUUCCGCGUGCAGGAUGAAGGCCCUCGGGUUGUAAGCUGCUUUUGUACAGAACGAAAAGGUUUCUACUAAUACUAGGAGCUCAUGACGGUACUGUAAGAAUAAGCACCGGCUAACUACGUGCCAGCCGCCGCGGUAA